UCUUUGGUGGCUCAGAGGGUAAAGAGUCUGCUUGCAAUGCAGGAGAUCUGGGUUCGAUCCCCAGGUUGGGAA
rnacentral:tRNA from 1 species